GAUUGAACGCUGGCGGCAGGCCUAACACAUGCAAGUCGAGCGGUAGAGAGGUGCUUGCACCUCUUGAGAGCGGCGGACGGGUGAGUAAUGCCUAGGAAUCUGCCUGGUAGUGGGGGAUAACGCUCGGAAACGGACGCUAAUACCGCAUACGUCCUACGGGAGAAAGCAGGGGACCUUCGGGCCUUGCGCUAUCAGAUGAGCCUAGGUCGGAUUAGCUAGUUGGUGAGGUAAUGGCUCACCAAGGCGACGAUCCGUAACUGGUCUGAGAGGAUGAUCAGUCACACUGGAACUGAGACACGGUCCAGACUCCUACGGGAGGCAGCAGUGGGGAAUAUUGGACAAUGGGCGAAAGCCUGAUCCAGCCAUGCCGCGUGUGUGAAGAAGGUCUUCGGAUUGUAAAGCACUUUAAGUUGGGAGGAAGGGCAUUAACCUAAUACGUUAGUGUUUGAC
rnacentral:rRNA from 1 species